ensembl:lncRNA
CAGAAGACAGAAUUGAUAACAGUAAACAAAAGAAUAGAUCAGAUAAAAGCUAAUUUUAAGUCUAGUUUAAAAAAAAGAAAACUCAAGUUAGACUGUGAGGGCGGUGACAGAGAAUUCACAUCUCGUCUGAGUAUAAAUCUAGAGUGGGGCACAGUCAAAAGAGUCCGAUCAGCUGACUUGGAAGCCAAGUAGGGGUGUAAGACAUUAGAGAUGUAAGAAGGAGCAACACCAAACAGGAGGAUCCACUUUAAUUCUAAGCCUCACUGGCAACCAAUGAGGAGAAGCUAAAAGAUGUAAUAUGAUCUCCUUUUCAGGUGCCUGUGAGAAACCUAGCAGCAGCAUUUGCCAGACGGUUGGUUAUUACAGUUGUGCGUCUCAGGCCAUGAUGGAUGCUAGUGAAAUAUUGGCUGUUGUGUCAGCUCUCCUGGUUGGGUUUUUACACUGUCUAAGCAGAGAUAGCUGAGUAUUCAGCAACCAGAUGCACCAGCCACAUAUUCAGUUUUAGGAUGAGUGUAAACCAUUGUUCAGUCAGCUGAUCACUUAAACCAGUGGUCCCCAACCCCCGGGCCAAAGACCCAUUUGGUACCGGGCCGUGAAAGUUGAAGCUCGGGUGUGAAAUUUAUGGUUUUCAGGGUUUUUAUCAUUAUUUUUUUAAUCGUUUUUAUCGUUAACUCAGUUUUCCUGGGUCUUUUCCCCUGUGUUAUGAAUAAAUCUUCUUUUUUUUUUGGUACUGGUUUUAUUUUUUUGUACUUAUCCGCGACACCUUAAAGGCCGUCAGACAUAAACCGGCCCGUGGCACAAAAAAGGUUGUGGACUGCAGACUUAAACCAUCCAGAGGCACUAUUUAAUCUUUACCUGUGGUUUAGUUUGAAUCUCUUUCUAUUUGGGACGUGCCCGAUAAUGCACUGCCGCAUGGCCCAUGCCAAAAGGUGUCCCAGUAACAAAGAUGUCACCAAAACAAAUGAUCGCCAAACCAGUUCCAACACCAGUGAUAAAUGUUUCACUGUAAACUAAGCUGUAAUAAUUUGCAAAAGGUCAACAAUGUAGAUUUGACUGACAUAUUUAAGACAAUAUUAUUUUAUUUGCUACCACAUAAAUAUUGUUCAAAUGGUUUAUGCAUGUCCAAUUCAUUAAACAUGGCCAAAGGUUAUAAAAAUCAGGUCAACUAUGUACAAGCAACCC